CUUAGUGAACCGAUGCUACCUCGUAGGAGGGGCAAAGAUCAUCAGAUAAAAGCUACUCCGGGGAUAACAGGCUGGUUUUGCCCGAGCGUUCAUAGCGACGGCAAAGUUCGGCACCUUAAAGAAGAAAUCGGGGUGCUAUGGGAGAGAUC
rnacentral:rRNA from 1 species